GCCGGGCGUGGUGGUUCACGCCUGUAAUCUCAGCACUUUGGGAGGCCGAGGUGGGUGGAUCACCUGAGGUCAGGAGUUCAAGACCAGCCUGACCAACAUGGAGAAACCCCAUCUCUA
ensembl:misc_RNA Metazoa_SRP Metazoan signal recognition particle RNA